CAUUAGCUCAGUGGUCAGAGCUCCCGGCUCAUAACCGGUCGGUCCCGGGUUCGAAUCCCUGAUG
rnacentral:tRNA from 1 species